UCCAAGUAAGCAGUGCUUGCUUAAAAUACAGGACAAAGACCUUCCAGACAUUAGAAAGCUAGAGGCCAGCCAUGAAGCGUUUUGGACUUGUUUUACUUCUCCUUAUUGUAGUAGCAGGAGUAAUCUGUGAACAAAAUGAUAUUGAAAAAGAAGAAAUCUUCGGUUGCCGAAAGGUUCGAGGUGUCUGUCGCCUGCAUUGCCGUAUAUAUGAGAAAAGAGAAAACGUUUUUGGAUGUCUUUUUCCUGCCAAGUGCUGCGUGCUUAAGUGAUAUCAGUCCACAGACUGAGACUGUGCUGAGCAAAACAAAUUAUAUGCCUGAAAAUCUUUGGCUUCAGAAUAUCUGCUAGAAAAUAACAUUCUAUUAAAAUACAUGUUUUUCUCUUGUUUUAAAAAGUUCAUCAUUUCAUUUAUGAGUAUAAUUCCUAUCAGUGUGUAUAUUUCUGUGUUUAUGAAAUAUAAACAAAAUCUAUGUCAGAAAAUGUGUUUUAAUUGUUACUAUUCCACAAAGAAUGGUUAUACUCUGAUAACAAAAUGUGCUUUUCUUUAAAUUACUGUUCUUUGCAUCUUCUGCUAAUAAAAACUAACACCAGUUCCUUUCUUUGCAUCUUCUGCUAAUAAAAACUCAAACAUCA